GCGCUCAUGGUGUGGUUUUUAUGGUGAUUCGAUAAAUCCAUCAGGCAGAGAAUGUUUUGAUGGCUGCGGCUGUGGCAGGCACCCUGGAUGUUGCAAUCUCUCUGCUGGAUGCUGAGUGAGUAUACAUGUUGUUGGUAUUGAUAUUGACCCACAGUCCCUUGAACUUGCUCAAGAAAACGCUGCUGAUCUAGAGUUGGAUAUGGACUUAAUUCAGUGUGAUAUAAAGAAUUUAAAUCUGAGAGGCCUUCUUGUUGACACUGUUGUCAUGAAUCCUCCGUUUGGGACAAGCAGAAAAGGAGCUGACAUGGAAUUCAUUUCUAUGGGCUUGAAGGUGGGGGCAGCAGCAGUAGUAGCCUUGCGCAAUUGCAAUGCCAUCAGUGCUUAGGUUCUGUGUGAGGUAACUAAAUAAUGCUGGGCACUUAUCUUGUAUAUCAAGAAGCAAUUCUAUAAUUUGCAUCUUUCCAAGUGCAAAACUGUUCUUUACUAUUUCUUUUGUCGGUUUUAUUUUGCUUCUAUUUAUUUUCUGAGUCAGACAUUAGGGUAAAGAUUGGAGGACCAAACAUGUUCUGUGUUGUCUGUCUAGAUCUAGGGUAAUAUUUCUUAAAUCACUUGCACACCUGUUUUCUUUAUAUUAUUUGGAAUACCAGAAUAUAAUAUU